ensembl:lncRNA
GGUCAGGGCGUGAGUUGGGGUGGGCAGUCCAUGUUUGUGUUUCUAUGUUUUUUCUAUUUCUGUGUUUGGCUUGAUAUGGUUCUCAAUCUGAGGCAGCUGUUUAUCGUUGUCCCUGAUUGAGAACCAUAUUUAGGUAGCCUGGGUUUUCACUGUUGGUUUGUAGGUGUUUGUUUCCGUGUGUGUGUUUGUCGCCACACUGUACUUUUUCGGUUUGGUUAUUUCACGUAUUCAUUUAUUGUUUUUGUAUUUCAUAGUGUUCAGUGCUUUUCUUAUUAAAAUCGUCAUGAACACUUACAACGCUGCAUCUUGGUCCGAUCCUUACUCCUCUUCAGACGAAGAGGAGGAAAUCUGCCAUUACAGCAGCUUACAGAUCAUUGCACCUGUAUGUAGCCCAUCUGUAAAUAGCCCAUCCAACUACCUCAUCCCCAUAUUGUUAUUUAUUUAUAUUUUUUUAAAUUGCUCCUUUGCACCGCAGUAUCUCUACUUGCACAUUCAUCUUCUGCACAUCUCACUGUGAGUACAUGGAAUAUUCCUCAACUGCGUAUAUCAUAAAUUGCUAUUGCAAAUAGAAGUAUUAUGUUCAACAACUGAUAUUUUCAGAUAUUAUUUUGACAAACACACUUUGGUGUUUACAAUUCAUUCUCUAUUGUCAUUGAUUUGGUGGGCACUGUCAUCUGUGAUCUUUGUGAUAUGACUUUCUUUAAGCACGUACUGAUGAAACUGUCACUUCAUAUAUUUUUCUUAAAGUCUACAAACGCUCUACAUUUAUUCACUCUGUUAUAGAGUUGGAUCCUAUAUGCUACUUUUAUUAUUGUCCUGUAAAUGGUUCAGUGGCUAUAAUUUAGGCUGUGUAGAAUGGGGAAUAAAGGAAAUUACCUAUACUAAUAAAUUACUACUAGAUUAUAGUUAUAAGGAAAACAGCAUACAAAGUUGGCUUGUGUAUCCAUUUGCCUCUAACUAAUCAUAAUUCCAUUAUGUUUACAUAAAAAGAGAACACUUCAAAAUGAGAAGAUCCUGCCAUGGAAAAGAAGACUGGGUGGACAUAACGUGUAAAGGAGGGGAAAUAACUCAUAACAUGCAGCAGGACACCUUCAGCUGUGGGGUCUUUGUAAUAUGGCCAAGGAAGUUGCACAGAACUUCCCCAACAUCCCCUUCCAAAUUGAUAUGGAACCUUCAAAAGCACAUGGAGCAACUGCGGAAAGAAAUGGCUGAGGAUAGACAAAAAAUGUCUGAGUUCAACAAAGCCAACAACUGCUUCAUGUGGGCCACUGAUAAAGAACCUGGAUGUGGCCCAAAGACUGACUGGUAGGUUCACCAGCUGACCUAUAUCAAGACACCCAGGUUGACUGGAUUCCCCCUGUGAAGAUGAGUAAUGCUGCAGCAGCAUCAGUUUCUACUACUUCAUCUUUUUCCAGACAUGAAAGAAGACUCCCCUCAGUUAUAUGACAUGGUUGUCAUAUGCUGUGCUUUGGACAAUUUGAAUGAUUCUGUUGUGUCAAUUGAGUAGAGCACCUUGUCAUGACAAAAGUGCCCCCUUAAACUGUAUGAAUAUAAUGUAUUUGGAACGUUUCAAAGACUUGUUGAUAUUGUAAACAUACUGUACUUUAAGCCAUAUUGUUGUCCAAGUGUAAAGACAAGUAUUUUGUCAUCUUUGCUUUGCCUAGCCCCAUUGAAUAAAAAGUAUUUCUUAUGGCCCAACUAUUGCCAUGUUCCUUGCUUUUCAGAAACGUGGUUCUCAAACAAGGUGCACCCCAUGGCUAUCCAACUCGAUGGAUUCUUCUUUCACCAGGCAGACAGGAUAGUGGAGUUGGUUCCGGUCAUUUUAAUUUGGCGUCACUAAAUCAAAAAGAUAUAUAAUUCACAUGCGCCAAAUACAACAGGUAUAGAUAGACCUUACAGUGAAAUGCUUACUUACAAGCCCUUAGCCAACAAUGCAGUUAGGAAAAAUAAGUGUUAAAGUAUUUACUGAAAUAAACUGAAGAAAAUAAUGAAUAAAAAAAUUGGUGCAACAAUAAAAUAACAUUAGUCAAGGUAAUAUGUACAUGUAGGUAGAGGUAAAGUGACUAUGUUUGUAUAAUAAACAGAGUAGCAGAAAAAGUUUGGCAUGGGCUCUCAAAUCCUGAAAAGGUUCUACAACUGUACCUUUGAGAGCAUAUGGACUGGCUGCAUCACUGCUUGGUAUAGCAAUAGCAUCGCCCUCGAUCGCAUGGCGCUACAGAGGGUUGUAUGGGCAGCCCAGUACAUCACUGAGGCCGAGCUCCCUGCCAUCCUGGACCUCCAUAUCAGGUGAAAGACCCCAACCACCCAUGCCAUAGAUUCUCUGCUGCAGCACAGCAAGAGCUUGAACAGCUUCUAUCCCCAAGCAAUACGACUGAUAAUUAGCUAACAAAAUUGCUACACGGACCAAGUUUACCUUGCAUCUUUAUUGACCUUUUAUUUCAGUGUUUUACACCGUCUAUGCACACUCACAGGGCCCUACACACUGUCACUCCAAAACAAACACUCCAUUUUCUCACUCACACAUAAUAUGCACAUACAUUUAUACAAGCUACACACCCACACGCUGCUGUUACUCUGUUUAUCUUAUAUCCUGUUGCCUAAUCACCUUACCCCUAUACAUAUCUACCUCUAUCACCCCAGUAUCCCUGCACAUGUAAAUAUGGUAUUGGAACAAACUUUUUAAAUAUUUCCUGUAUAUAGUAUGUUUGUUUACUUUAUUGUGUAUUUCAUAUUUCUUGUGUGCUUUUUUCUAGAAAUACAUUUGAUUAUUGCAUUGCUGGUUUUUGAGUUUGCAUUAAAGGCAUUUUACUGUGCAUGUGACAUUAA